rnacentral:tRNA from 1 species
GGAUUUAGUUUAGAGAAAACGUAGCUUUGAAGAAGCUAAAAGUUGUCCUUA